ACAAACAACUUUGUCCAUUGACCGCUUCUUUUAGGAACAUUUCUGCGGUGCAAGUUUCCGCUGUCAGUGCUCCAAGCCCAACUGUGACCACAUUGCUGCAGCUGGCGCUGGGCUGGAUAUGAUCACCCCAAAACUUCAGAGAAACAGAGUCCAUUUAGAGGGGACUUUCAGCUGCAGUUACAGUGCUGAGGAAAUGCCUGCUUCUUAAAGACGUACAGCAUAAAUAUCCAACAGAAAGCUGAGAAGAGUGUCAUGAAAACAUUCAAGAAGUAAUUUGAAAUGAAGAAUCCCUGACUGUCUCAUCACAAGUUCAUCUGCCACAGGAAGGCUAACCUUUGAAGAAACAUUUAUCAGAGUGAGCUAUUUGAUCAGGUGUAGCUCGGAGGUGGAUUUCCUUUCAGUGGUAUGUAGCUCCAAGCCAGCGCCCUGAUUGCUGUUACUCACACUGCAAUAUUGGACUCUGUGCCCUCCUUCUCUUCCUAAAAGGGCUACUCCUAGUCCUCACGAGACAGUGCAGUCUGGGAAGGCGACUGAGAAAUAAAAGAUCCUCUGCUAAUCCCAAAAGAAAACAAACACUGCAGGUACAAUUCCACUGUUGUGACCUACUGUUCAUUCACACAUUCCUCUCUUUUACUUUAUCUGGAAGUCAAUCUGCAGCGCAGCAGCAUUGCCUUCUCAGUAUCAACAGUGGAAGGAGAUGUGACUCAGGUAAAAGGGAGAAGGUUCAACCUCCCACUGCUCAGUCAACCCAGGAUCAAGCAGGAAGCAGUACAGUAAACAAAAAUUGCCUGGAUUGAAAAGGACCAUAAUGAUCAUGGAGUUUCAACCCCCUCAUUUUCUCAAGAAGUAUUUCUAGGUUUCUCAGUGGUUCCUCUCAGCCAAGAUGGCAGCGCCUCUGGGAGGAGCAGCGGAGAGGAACAAGUACAUACUGAUCAUGGCCUCCCAUUCCCCACCCUUCAGCAGAGUGGUAAAGGUAUUGGGACAGGGAGGAGGAAGGAUAUAGUUUCCAUGGAAAUAAUUUGGAGGCAUUACAUAUAGAGCAACCUACACAGAUGCAGCCUUAGACAAUUCCUCCUCACCAGUGCUCACCAGUGCUGUAGACUUACAAAAACUCCACAAGGAGCCACCUCCUGGAAGAGAUCCUUCCUCAGUGGCAGUCAGCCCUUAAAUGGGGGUCUAGGAGAGGUGGAGCCUGGCUCCACCCCUUCUGGUCACACAGCUGAAUUGCCUUCACCUGUGCUCCCAUGGCUGACUCAGUGCUCACCUCAGGUGGUCAAUCAGAGGUUCAGGCCGUGAUUCAACAGUUCCUAUACAUACUCCACAACAGUAUCACUCCACACCUUAAAUAGUGCUAAGGGCAUGCUUUAAUGUCCUGCUGGAAUUAUGCAUACUGCACUGCUGAACAAAUACCAGUUUUACUGUUCUGUUUGAACAUUUUUAUAUCACUUCUCUUCAUGCUUCUCUUUAUGAUAAAUAAAAUCAUAGUUUAUAAUUGUCUUCACUCUUCACAUUUGUUAAGUUUAUGCUUUACACUAGACAUUACCAAUGUGUUACUUUGAAAUCCAAUACUAUGAAAAAGUAGCAGUAACAGUAUAGGGCUUUAAUUUUGUUAGACAAAGUGCUAAAUAGAAGCAUCACACUUAACUAACUGAGAUAAAUAGUAAGUAAUUGUAACAGCUCUUUUCAGAAGGAAUUUAACAUUCACACCAAAUUGUUGUGGACUGAUUAUUGUGAGUUGAAUAUUGGUGAAAUUAGGUAUCUGAUCGGAAAAAAUCAUAACUCAAAAUAGGUAGUCAGGAUUUCUCCUUACAAUCUCCAAACUUGAUCCAAAUGGUCUUCUAAAUAUUUAACAAGGAAAAAAAUCAAUGACUUGGGGUAAGUGUGAUGAAACUACUGGCUCUAUAAGAUUUUUCAUGCUACUCUCGUCUGUCCUGAUUUGGAAGUAUUUUUAUCUAAUCAUAGCAGCUUAUGGAUGACAAUAAUUGAGAAAGUGGUGAGAAUGCAUUUAAUUCACAGUAUCAAAGAAUCUCAUAAAAAAAAAAGCCUUCAUAUGUGGGCAAGUGACAUAUUGUCUGUUGUUCAAUCAAACUUUGUCAAAUAAUUCAAAGAUGAAACAAGAAUUUUUCACUAAGAUCUUCUGCAGCCUAUUAAAAAUGCAAUCAUAUAAAUUUUUAUCAUUCCCAAAAAAGUAUGCAGGUUUUUUGGGGACUUAAGUUUGUUAAGGCAUGUUAACAAUUUGAUAGCUGAACUGAGUAGAACUACAAAAGGGUUAAGGUUGGAUAGCACUUCAGGAGGUAAUCUAGUCCAAUUCUCUGCUCAGAGCAAGGUCAACAAGAGCACAUUGCUCAGGACAGUUAUUUGGUUUCAAAAAUCACCAAGGAUGAAUACUCCACACUGCUGGACAACCUGUUCCAGUGUUUGGCCACCAUCACAGUGAAAAGGUUUUCCUCUUGUUUAUACAGUAUUUCCCUGUGUUUCAGUUUGUGCCCUUUGUCUCUUGACCUGGCAGGGGACAUAACUGAGAAAAGCGUGGCUCUCUUUUCUUCAUUACCAUCUAACAUUUAUUAGUACACAUAGAUAAGAUCCCUGCUGUAACUUCUCCAAGCUGAACAGUCCCAAAUUUUUUUCCUACCUCACUCCUUCACUCCACAGUCCUCUACCCCAGCCCAUGCAGAGCAGCAGAGACGGGGAGGCAAUUACAGAGAGUCAUAGCCAUAGAGAUUUCUUUCUGCUGCUUCUUUUAUACCAUGACUUUCCCCCACUCCUUUGUGGGCUGUCCCUUUGUUGCAGUCAUGGAGACUGCUCUCCCAGUCUCCAUGACUAUUCAAGGAAAAUUGAGAACGGCUUCACAGUGACCUCAGCCAGCUCCCUCAGCAUUCAGUGGUGCAUCUCAUCAGGGACCAUGGGCCUGUGGCUGGACAUUUUUAUUAAGUGUGCCCUAAUCCAACUGUCCUUCACCAAGUGUAAGUCUUUCUUGCCCAAGUCUUUCUGACUUGUCUCAGAGCCCUAAGGUUGCUAAAUACAAAAGAUAAGAAGCACUGAAACACUAUGUCUCAACAGCCCCUAAACCAUUCAGCAGUGGGUUCACACCUUUUCUAGUCCUUACUUUUGCUGCUAAUACAGUCACAGAGAGAAGCCCUCCUUGUCCUUUAUAUCCCCUGCAAAAUUCAAUAACAAAUGGGAUUUUGCUUUCCCAACCUUUCCCUGCAUGAAAAAUGUGCCUAUAUUGCUGCUGGAUCCUCUGUCCCUGGUUCAUUUCCUGUAUGUUCUAAGUUUAUUGAAGAGUUCCUUAUUCAUCCACACAGUCCUCCUGGCACCUUUCCUUAGCAUUCUCAUUGUCAAGAUGGAUCAUUCUUGAGCUUGGUUAUUCAUGAAAAUCAAUCAACUCUCCAUGACAUCUUGUCUCCAACUUUUUCCUUGUAUUACCUCAGGCCCUCAUCUCCGUGUCUGUGAGAUCUGGAGAACUUUCUGUUAACAGAUGUCUGCUCCUUAUGUAGGUGUUUAUAGAUGAAAGUCAAGUCACUCUGUCACCUUUUAUUUGAGCAGAUCUGUUUUGCAAAGUAUUGCAAAAUCUAUUGCAGCAUAGAUGAGAAACAACUGAACAAGCUUCACGUUAGUUUGAGCCCAUUCUUCUACACCUUGCUGGGCCAGCUGAUUUUGCUGUACAAAGUUCAUAUGCUAGAGUGCAGGCUCACUUUGUCCAUAAGUUUUUCUAAAUCUCUUGCUGACGAAAAACAGAGUAACCGUAAGAUUUUAGAAUGAUCAUUCUAUAUCCUAAAAUUAAGACAUUUAGAGCUGCUAAGCCAAACAAUUUCUGCAAAUGCACAUUUUACUCUCAGUGUUUUGAUUUUCCUUCUUUUCAUUCACAAAAUCAUUUUCCUUUCUCAGAAUUCUGUUGUGUUGUUUUCUUUUCUCCCUGAGUUCUUUGUCUAGGUUUGAUCCAACAUUUACCAAAAUCAGUUGAAAAAUUAAGUUCAUCUUACUGGGUUUUAGGUCAAAAAUAAGAGAUAAAAUAUGUUAGUAACAAUAUGUCAUUAAGUUGUAGUGCUGGUUGGGAGCACAGAAGCAAUUAAUUUAACCUAACAACUACGUCUAAAAAGUUAGAUGUCUGACCCAGUCACUCCUUUUACAUGCAAUGGAUUAUAAGAGGCAUCAUCACAAAAAUGAUUCAUAACAUCAUAAAAUAGGUGUCCAAGUUGAGUUAGCUAACUGAGUCACCAUAUGUAUGUUCUUUCCACUGAAUAUAAGAAUAAUAAUUACUCUAGAUUUAGAAAGAUAGAUUUUAGACAUAUAAGGGGUGAUUCAAAUGUCUAUACAGAGAAGCAUAAGAGUAGUGUAAGAGAUAUGAUCCAUCUGAAGACCAGAGCUUAUAUGAUAGUUUUGAAUAACGCAGAAAUUCAGCUCUCAGCAGUUACUCCUUGUUCCGGACUCAGUUCUGUUAAUGAGUUAACUAAGCAUUGAACUGGUUGCUGCCUUAGGCUUCCAAAAAAAUAUGAGCACAUUUAUACAUCUUGCUAAGAAGCCCUUGAGUGAAGAAUGUACCUAUGAGUCUAGUCAAUGCCAAAGCUGAAAUGCUAGGAUGCUGUUAAUAGCAGAACUUUGGAUAUCUAAGUCAAUAAAUUGUCAAAGCUUAAGCCCUAAGAAGUCCUGAAGUGUGUAAGCAAUAGGUGUUAGCUUUCUUACUUUGCAAAUCACUGGGCUAGACUUUGAUGUCUGUAUUCCCUUUGGAAAUGUCUUUGACCAAAUUCAUAACCUUUCUGUCUUCCACAUCAAUUUUUCAACUUGGCUUCUAUCAUAGAAACAGUAAGAUGUACAUCCAAAAAUGAUGAUAAAACAAAUGCUAAAGCAAUAGCAUAACCUGAAGGGUGCCUCAUAGAGGAAGAAAUAAUAUCUAUGAAAAAUUGCAGUUCAAUACAAAAUUUCCCAUGAGCUGAUAAGGAGAAAACUAUGUGAAACAGCAUGAAACAGAUGUGGCCACUGAACAAAACCCCAGAGGUGUUACUGAAGACAGUUUAGUUAUCUGUAGAGAUUAUUCCUCUUUCUGGUCAGAAUAAAAUUAAUUUCUUGUCUUACUGAUAUGAUAUAUUAAUAUUCAUUUCUUGAACUCCUCUUUUUUUUCUUUUCUUUUCUUUGUAUUUUUCUUUUCUUUGUAUUUUUCAUUUCUUUGUAUUUUACUUAUUUAAAGUACCCGUACUUUCAAACAGCACGUUACAUCUGACCUGUUGCAUCUAUUUUUACUAACAAAAAAAUUUAUAUAAGGAAAAAAUGUUGAAGUUUCUCAGAAGUGGGUGCAGAAAACUGUACUGGAAAAUAUUUCUAAACACAGAAUGGACAAAAGUAUGACUGGGAGUAGUCAUCAUGGAUUUGCCAGUGAGAAAUAAUAUCUACCCAAAGUCAUAGCCUUUCACAUUUGUAUGACUGACUCAGUAGAUAUGGACAGGACAUUGACAGUUUACCUUGACUUCAGGAAGGCUGACACUGUCUCAAUUACAUCCUCACAUGCAAACAGUUAACACAUGGUCUAGUUGGAGGCCAGACACUAGUCAUAUGUAAUCCUAUGGUGUGAUAUUGGUUUCAGUAAUUGCAUUCAGGUCAUUAACGAUCUCAGUGAUGUGACGGAGAACACCCUCAGGAAAUCUGCAGAAAAUGCAAAUGCAAAUUUUCCAAAGAGCAAGCAUUGUAGUUUUUCAGCCUCCUUAAAUGGGAAGAUAUCUAUGAAGAUAAGAUUUGUGUCUUUAAUAAAUGCAUUCAUAAGAUAAAUAUGUAUUCUUAUAUAUAGUUCUGAAACUUGAUCAUGAUUCCUGUGGGGUCACAGAAACAUUAGGCUCUUGUCACUUGUUGAAUGAAUUUGAAUUGUUUUUACUGUAAUACCAAGAGAGAAAUCUCACAUGCUAUUCAUAGAAUCACAGAAUCAUAGAAUCGCUAAGGUUGGAAAAGACCCACAGGAUCAUCCAGUCCAACCAUUCGCCCAUCACCAACGGUUCCUGCUAAACCACGUCCCUCAACACAACAUCCAAACGCUCUUUGAACACCACCAGGCUUGGUGACUCCACCACCUCUCUGGGCAGUCCAUUCCAGUGCCUGACCACCCUUUCAGAGAAGUAGUAUUUCCUAACGUCCAGCCUUCAUGAAAGACUCAAGGUAGUAAAGUUCUGUCAAUAUCUUGUAAUAACACUGUCUGUAUGUAUGUUCUCUGUAUAUUUAAUUUAUUGUAAGACUCCUCUCUCAGGCUCUUUAACCAGACACCUACAAAAAAUAUCCAACAAUGAGCAAAAAGAACCAAGGAGUUUUCGCUUCUAUCUGAAGAAAUAUGAUGAAGUUUCUGGCUAACACAAUAAGUUGAACUGAAAUAAUGUCUUAAUCUUCCCAGCACAUUCUACAGCUGUCAUUUUUGGGGGGACUGGGUUGCAUUGAUUUCUAUGUGACAGGAGUUGUGAAUGUGAGCAUGAAGAUAUUAGGCAUGACAUGUAUGCAGUUGAAUCUGUAGUAAUUAUUUGUGCUCUUUAAUUUUUGGCUAUGCCUUCAGUUCCCCUAUGUUUACCUUAAUCAGACACUUUCCAACAGUAAAAACACCACCUCAUGUCACUUCAAAACAAAAUGUAUUGACUCCAGGUCUGUCUAGUUUUGAGAAAAGGAUCAAGACUUCAUAUUUUUCCUAACUCAGCAUCUUAAGGUGCAUUUUUCAACAGAGCACUUUGGAAGGACUGUAUUUUGUAUAACUUGCUAUUUUAAUUUAGAAAACAAUGCAAAAUAAAAUAAGAGCUAAUCCGGGGGCUGCAUGAGAUAGGGGCAAUUCUAAAAAUAUCAGGGCUGAUUUGCUACAGUUUUGCAGAAGAAAAUGGUGGGAAUUACUAUGUAAUAAAUCCAACAAAACAGGAGAAAAAAACUUAUUUUUAUCUUUUGUUUCAGAGUUCUGAAAAUUAAUCCUCAUUUCUAUUUGGAAGACAUUCAUACAGUAACAUAAUGUCCCACAGUCGCUGGGGAAGUGCCAUAGACAGUACUUCUUCCCAUUACAUCAGAGACUGAGCUGUCUGUUCACUGUAAUCAAUACAGCCAAGAGGAUUAUCUGGUGUAUUCCCUUUCUCAGCUGUGAUUCAUUAUUACAAGUCUUUUUGCUAUCAAAGAUUUUUUUCCCAAGUCUUACUCUCCUGAGCAACCAAAAACAGUCUUUAGGAUAACUGCACUUUGUCUAAUUAUUUCGCCAAUGAGAAACUGAGACUUGUUUACCUUUUUCUUCCUGUAAAAAAAGUCUACAGAGAAAUCAGAAAAACUUGAUCAGAAUAAGUCCCUGUCUAUUCUUUUUACAAAUAUUGUUAAAAAUGUUAGCAGAGAAUUCAAAUGUAGCAGGGAAAUUUGCAGAAAUAAUGGCCACAGUAUAAAUAUGUCAGGGAAACAGAGAUAAAAGCUUGCAGUAAACCUGGUUAGACUGAUCCCACCUAAUUCCAGCUGCACAAGAAUUACACUUUUGGGCUAGUUUACUGGUCUAGGCUCUUUCUGGAGUCUGGAAACAUAAUCUCAUGGAGAUGUUUCCUUUCUUGAUGAUUAGUAAUGGCAUUGUAGGGAACCUGCCUUAGCACUGGGGUUGGACUCAAUCUCCUGAGGUCCCUUCCAACUCCUGCAAUUCUGUGAUUCUAUGAUUCCAUAUACUCAAUAACUCAUUAUAGGACCAGAUAUCUAUUUUAUGGUGAACUGAAUCACUUCUAUCUUUUUUUUUUAGCUAUGUUCAACAAUAGUUUAAUGAUAAUAAGGAAAGUUUAAAAAACAGCACCCCUACAGACAUCAAUUGGUUGACACCAGCACUUGAAUUUCUUAAUUCAAAACUGGAUCCCAUUACAGUGGGGUACCAGAUGGAGUGAAUCACCUGCAGAGACCUCCAUUGACAACUGAACCGUUGUGCCUUGCCACAUACAUACUCUUAAUCCAUCACAAAUGCAAGACAAUUGUAUUCUCUAAAGUUUCAAAGAAAGAAGUUUAAUCACAUUUGAGACAGGCUAGUAAUACACAGAAUUGUACACUGAGUGUACAACACAAUAGAUUUACUUUGAUCCAUCAAGCCAUGUUAACUCUUCCUGAUUGUGAGCAACGAUGAGUUUGCAUUGUUUUUCAUUCAUCAGCUCGCUCAUGAAUUUACAUACCUAAACCAGAGCAGAUCUUCCCUGAGAGUGGAGACGGAAAUGUGGCCAUUUAAACACCUUCUCCCUGUUGACAGGAAUAUUCAUGUUAUCUACAUUCAAUUUUCAUGUUUACUUUUGGACAAACAUUUCUCUUCUAUUUUGCUACUAUCUUUGUAGUGAUGAAAAGAAUUGUGUUAAAAGUGAGUUCCAUCACCAGCUUCAUUUCUAAGCUAAGUUGUUCUAAUGAUGAACCUCUGUGGAUGAUCUAUACAUUUCAAAAAUUCAGGGAAGGCCUGAACUCUGAAAACCAAGCUGAAAAUAAGUAUUUUAUGAGCUCUGUCUAGGAGCAUAGAAAAACCACAACAGACAAAAAACAAAAUGCACAAGGUAACAAUAUUGAAAGUAUAAUCAAUUACUAAUACCGUAGGUCAAGAAGUAGGUAUUAGCAGAAAAUUACAUAAUGCUAACAUAAUGGCUGACAGAGCACAUUUAGUUUAGCAUCUCCUUCUCUAGAGAGAAACCUUCUCAUCCUCAGUUCAGAUUUGUCAUUUUCAGCAUCAUACUUAAUUUUUCAAUAUAAUUACAAUAUAGUUGUUGUUGCCACUCAAAAAUUCAACUUCAGCAAGUAAUGGGCAUUUUAAUUUCAUCCCAUUGAAAAAGAAAUUCAUGGCUAACUUUGCAAAGAAUGAAGGUCAAGAUUUUGAUAAGUAACUAGUGUUGAGUUCUUUGAAUGCAUAUUAGGUGCUUAUUUGAAAUGAAAUAUUUUGUUGGCUGAGUAAAUUUUGUAAAAAUUUUGUAAAUUCUGGUGUUUGUGGCACAAUUUUAAUUCCUAAUUUCACAGAUCAUAAAGGAUUCCAGAGAUCAAAUGAAAGAUGGUCUGUAGUUUACAAAAAAAAAAAAAGGGGGGGGGGGGGGAA